rnacentral:lncRNA from 10 species
CGUCACGGCGCCACGGUCGCAGUUGGCCACACAGUGCAAGUGCAGCCCAAGCCGAACGCCCAAGAGGGCUCCGGGGUCCUACCGAUCACCGCUUACCAUGUAUGCGAUAAAAGCUCACCGAAAGCGGGACCUCGUGCGCUGUGCAAAUGAGGAAACUGGCACAGCCAUCAGCCCACUUCAUAUAGACAGAUAGAUGCAGAAAUGAUGACGGGGACCAGGUGGCCUGAGUCUUCGCCCUCUACCUUUUCCACCAUGCCACACUGCCUUCCACCCAACGCGUGAAAACUUUGGCCUGAAAAUCGGGUGAUGUGACUGUAAGAAAUGCACCCAUUAUUCCCAAAGGAGUCAGGGAAGGUGAUGGCCCUUAGCCAGACAAGAAAAUAUAUUCUUGGAAGACAAAAAAAGUGUCAGAAGAUUUAUUAGUCUUUGUGUUGAUAUUCACUGAGCAAAGAAAGAAAAAACAAGGAAGUCAACAGUAAGGAAGGAAACGAUGUUAUUAUUGAACUGAUUCUUACCUUGUGUAUGUUAGUUUUGGAUCAUUAAGCCACUUUGUUACUGCACUGGCUUCCUGAAAAGCCAAAAAAGUGACAUUCACAAGUCAUGCUUCGUUGUACUAGCAAAGGAAGGACAUGCUGUAACCUCACGUCUGGCGUCCCGGCACUUUGGGAAUGUCAACAUUUAUCAGCCUUGUUCACAUCUAGUCCUCCUCCAACAAAAUAGCAAGCAGCUCAUUGGAGAGCCACACAGUCACCAGGACAGAGAGAAUGCCCAGCAGCAGAAGCCAAAAAAAGAAACUUUCCCUUUCUGUCUCCUCUGUCUGUGGCGUGCAACCCAGCUAUGAGGACGUGGGGUUGAAGCCAUUUCCUUUUUCAGUUUCAGCUUCUGACCCUCCUCAGGAUUAGAAGUGGCGAUUCAGAGGCUGGGAGGGUGAAAGCAUGACUUCUCAAGAACCAGCUCGUGCUGAAGUCACUGCUCACCUUCCUGUCUCAGGGAUGCUCCUGAUGCUAAUGACGUCGUGUGAAUCAUGCUCUACGUGUCUGCAUGCCUGAGCCGAGCUUAUCCUCAUGGCACCCUGUGAGGCAGGCUGCUGCUCCUACUCCCACUCACCAGAAGAGGAAGCCGAGGCUCAGAGACUGAGUAACUCUUGAGGUUACACAGCCACCGAGCAGGGUCAUUAGGGCCCUAUGAGAUUUCCUUCCGACUCCGCUCUGAACUCACUCUCGUAGGCCCAAGCUGGGCGCCUCCCCCAGGGAACACCGUAGUGGCCCGGAAAACAGAGAGCACAGGUUACAUUUGGCUCACAUUCUUGGUGUGUCCACUGUAGGUUGCUGUGAAGUAAAUUUUAAAUUUUUAUAUAAAAACAAACAGAUAAUUUCUUGAGUGGGACAUAAAAGCAUGAAUUUGAAAGUUAAAAUGUAAGAUAUUGACCUUUUACUUAAUAAUAAUGUAACAAUAUUGCUUUAUUAACUGUGACAAAUGUACCAUUGUAAAAUAAGAUAAUCAUAAUGAAAACUGGGUGUGGAGUGUGCAGGAACUCUGUAUUAUCUUUGUAAUAAUAUGGUAAAUCUAAAAUUGUUCUAAAAUAAAAAUUUUUCUCUUUAAAAAAGUA